CCCUGAAUCUAAUUCCAACCUGUUGAGAUAUUUGGUAAACUGUAAUACUCAAUGUGACCAGCAGAGGUUUCCAUGAUUGUCAGCGAUGUUUAAGUCAGCAAAAAAGAGAACGGAGAAAGAGACUUCCAGGUGGAUAGUAGAGUGUAAAAAAUAAAGUUGGAGCGCAAGCUUGUUGUUCAAAAACAAAUGCUGGUUAUUCUGAAAGAAGAACAACAUACAACCCUGACGCUAUCCUUAACCCAAAGCCAACACCACCGGUUGAACUAGUUGGACAGAUGGAAACUGGAAGGUCUUCUAAGAGCAGCCUGCUCUUGAUCUUCUUUGCCGUGUCACUUCUUUCAAAUGCAUAUGUCUCUUGCACCAUAAUUUCUCAUGCUGAGAGACUCUGAUGAAUACAGUCGUGAAUAACAGGCCCACCACAACAGAAGUGCAGCAACACAUGUAGACAGACAGGGAUAUGCCCCUCCAUUUGUCUCAGCAAAAUAUUACUGCACUUUACUGAACAGCGCACCUCAAAGGGCACUUCUGACGUGGAAACCAAAAAGAGCGUCUCAUUAUGAUGAUGAGAAUGGGCCACCAGUGAAUUCGUUCCUUUCAAGCAGGUCCCACUUUGAAAUCCUUCCGGUGAAAUGAGAUGAAACCGCAACAUGCGUUUGAAUGGUGACUCAACAAUGAAAAGAAAAGUGAUUUUAUUGUUGCUCAUGAGCUUCUUCGAUCCGAGAUGUCA